CGGGCGGUGGCGGAAUGGCAGACGCUAAUGCGGUGAGAUGCAAUGCCUUGAACUCAUAGGGUUAGGUUUCCAGCAAAGUUUGCAUCAUGCAGGUUCGACUCCUGCCCGCCUGU
rnacentral:tRNA from 1 species